rnacentral:lncRNA from 1 species
UACUUGUUUAUUAAAAAUUUAGAUUUUAAUAAAACAUGCCUUGAAUUAUGGUAAAAAAAAAAAUUAUUAGUUCAGGUUCAAGUUUUUUGGUUCGGAUUUCAGAUUUUUGAUCGGAUUUGAAUUUGAAUAUGAAUUUUCAAAAUCAAAUAGGUUUGGAUUCAUGUUUUGAAUUAUGGUAAAGAAAAGUAAUUAUUUCGGGUUCGGAUUUCCGGUUUUUGGUCGGGUUAGGAUUUGGAUAUGAAUUUUCAAAAUCCGUCGCGUGUGGAUUCGGGUUUAUAUUUUUGGGUUUGGGU